rnacentral:rRNA from 2 species
GAUGAACGCUGGCGGCGUGCCUAAUACAUGCAAGUCGAACGAGUUCUCGUUGAUGAUCGGUGCUUGCACCGAGAUUCAACAUGGAACGAGUGGCGGACGGGUGAGUAACACGUGGGUAACCUGCCCUUAAGUGGGGGAUAACAUUUGGAAACAGAUGCUAAUACCGCAUAGAUCCAAGAACCGCAUGGUUCUUGGCUGAAAGAUGGCGUAAGCUAUCGCUUUUGGAUGGACCCGCGGCGUAUUAGCUAGUUGGUGAGGUAAUGGCUCACCAAGGCGAUGAUACGUAGCCGAACUGAGAGGUUGAUCGGCCACAUUGGGACUGAGACACGGCCCAAACUCCUACGGGAGGCAGCAGUAGGGAAUCUUCCACAAUGGACGCAAGUCUGAUGGAGCAACGCCGCGUGAGUGAAGAAGGCUUUCGGGUCGUAAAACUCUGUUGUUGGAGAAGAAUGGUCGGCAGAGUAACUGUUGUCGGCGUGACGGUAUCCAACCAGAAAGCCACGGCUAACUACGUGCCAGCAGCCGCGGUAAUACGUAGGUGGCAAGCGUUAUCCGGAUUUAUUGGGCGUAAAGCGAGCGCAGGCGGUUUUUUAAGUCUGAUGUGAAAGCCCUCGGCUUAACCGAGGAAGCGCAUCGGAAACUGGGAAACUUGAGUGCAGAAGAGGACAGUGGAACUCCAUGUGUAGCGGUGAAAUGCGUAGAUAUAUGGAAGAACACCAGUGGCGAAGGCGGCUGCCUGGUCUGUAACUGACGCUGAGGCUCGAAAGCAUGGGUAGCGAACAGGAUUAGAUACCCUGGUAGUCCAUGCCGUAAACGAUGAAUGCUAGGUGUUGGAGGGUUUCCGCCCUUCAGUGCCGCAGCUAACGCAUUAAGCAUUCCGCCUGGGGAGUACGACCGCAAGGUUGAAACUCAAAGGAAUUGACGGGGGCCCGCACAAGCGGUGGAGCAUGUGGUUUAAUUCGAAGCAACGCGAAGAACCUUACCAGGUCUUGACAUCUUUUGAUCACCUGAGAGAUCAGGUUUCCCCUUCGGGGGCAAAAUGACAGGUGGUGCAUGGUUGUCGUCAGCUCGUGUCGUGAGAUGUUGGGUUAAGUCCCGCAACGAGCGCAACCCUUAUGACUAGUUGCCAGCAUUUAGUUGGGCACUCUAGUAAGACUGCCGGUGACAAACCGGAGGAAGGUGGGGAUGACGUCAAAUCAUCAUGCCCCUUAUGACCUGGGCUACACACGUGCUACAAUGGAUGGUACAACGAGUUGCGAGACCGCGAGGUCAAGCUAAUCUCUUAAAGCCAUUCUCAGUUCGGACUGUAGGCUGCAACUCGCCUACACGAAGUCGGAAUCGCUAGUAAUCGCGGAUCAGCACGCCGCGGUGAAUACGUUCCCGGGCCUUGUACACACCGCCCGUCACACCAUGAGAGUUUGUAACACCCGAAGCCGGUGGCGUAACCCUUUUAGGGAGCGAGCCGUCUAAGGUGGGACAAAUGAUUAGGGUG